rnacentral:rRNA from 1 species
AACGAACGCUGGCGGCAGGCCUAACACAUGCAAGUCGAACGCAUCCUUCGGGGUGAGUGGCGCACGGGUGAGUAACACGUGGGAAUGUAUCCUUUGGUUCGGAAUAACGUCUGGAAACGGACGCUAAUACCGGAUGAGCCCUUAGGGGGAAAGAUUUAUCGCCGAAGGAGCAGCCCGCGUCUGAUUAGGUAGUUGGUGGGGUAAAGGCCUACCAAGCCGACGAUCAGUAGCUGGUCUGAGAGGAUGAUCAGCCACACUGGGACUGAGACACGGGCCAGACUCCUGCGGGAGGCAGCAGUGGGGAAUAUUGGACAAUGGGCGCAAGCCUGAUCCAGCCAUGCCGCGUGAGUGAUGAAGGCCUUCGGGUUGUAAAGCUCUUUCGCACACGACGAUGAUGACGGUAGUGUGAGAAGAAGCCCCGGCUAACUUCGUGCCAGCCGCCGCGGUAACAC